AGUAUUUUCGGGGUUAGCUCCAAAAACUUGUUGCCGCUUAAGUGUUACGACAUAAAAAAAAAAAAGAAGACCAAACUCUCGAAACUCACAGUCUUCUUCUCUAUCUCGCCUCUGUCAUGUUAUCUGGUCCUUUCUUCAUGGCUCACACCGGACAAACCUAUAAUCGUCGUCGUCCAUGGCCACUGAAGUUGAAUCUCCCGGACGUCUCUGCACCGUUUCUCUAAGAAAGAAGAAGCCUCCCAGUUCUCUCGGCAAAGAUGCUCACAAGUACACACCCUAAGGUUUUUAAUUCUUAGAUCAAUUGUUCCUACGAUUCAUAUUUAGUUUGUUUCAGUCUCCAAGUAUACAUCAUUCUAUGAAUGCCUUUUUACAAAAAAAAAAAAGUAUACAUCAUUCUUAUAGUGUGUUUGAUUGGAAAUUUGACAAUUUUAUAUAUUAGCAAGGUGCUUUAUAUUCAGUUAAAAGAAGGUUCGAGCUUCAGAAUAUAGUGGCUGCUUUCCUCCACCUUAAAGCUCGAUGAGCAUUUUCUCAGUCGCCUUGUAUCACCUUGUAAGUUGUGAACAUUUUUAAUAAGAUUAAAUCCUAAAGUCUCUUAACAUUUUUGAUCUAUAAGAGUAACAGUUAGUUUCCUUUGAGUUUGUUUUACAGUAACCGGUACCAUAGUUCCAAGGAUUAUACUUGUCUUUGCUGCCCUUGCGGUUAGUGAUUCAAAUGGCUUCAAUUCUGACCCAGAUGUUUUUAGUUGUUUAUCUUGUGCCCCUUGUUUUCUAUCUGAUUUCAACCGCCUUAGUAGGCAGUUAUUGAUAAUGUGCCCCUUUUUUUGCAGAUCCUGAACCUCUGUCAAUGCUCUCUAUAGAAGACUCUCUGGACUAAAUAAAAUAAAGGAGUCAGGUUCUAGGGAGCUAUGCUUCUUGAGUUCGAAGCAAAGAAAGAAGUCAGGUUUUUCUGAGCGACUCAGGACAAGCUGUUCCACAGCUAUAUCACUGGCAUAUAAGGCAUCCAGAGAGUCACAGACAAGUCCAAUACUUUUUCAUCAGGGUUCUCCAUACCAGUCAUGACACGCAUCCUUGACUUCACAGAAUCAGAAGGCUAAUUGUGGUUUUGUCUCUCUUCUCUUAUUGCAGACAAACUAACACAGAAGAUCACUGAAGCAGUUGAGUUCAUUAUUGUUUCACAACACUUCUCCAACACUGAUCAUGAUGAGGAUGACAGCCAAGCUACAACUCACAAACAUCAGUCACACCUUCUAUGCGAGAUAGGCAUUUUACACGGUAGAUGUUCAAUAAUUUUGUUUCUGUUUCGUUUUUAUUUGCUUUUGUUCUUAAGAUUUUUUGUAACAUUUGAUUAGUCCUAUAUGGUGUAAUGACACUAUGAUAUUGUUGUGCUAAUCUUAAAUAUUUGGUCAUU